UCAACCCUUCACUACGGAUCGUUCGGCACGUACCUGCCGAUGAAAGGAUGAA
rnacentral:ncRNA from 3 species